CAUUCAUGGUCGCAUGCUGCUGGUGUUUUGUGUCCACGCACACACACACAGUCAUGACAGAAGAAGUUUAAUUCUUCGGGGCUCACCACAAACGGCGAUUUAGCGUGUAAUCCACAUGUUCCUUUUGAGUCGUUCCCACGUGGGGACGACGUGCCACGCUACGCUCCCACCCCGUGUCAGGUGGUGACGUGCAGGAAGUGAGUGAUUCCCGUCAGCCUGUUCUACUUGGCUGGACUUCCAGGCUGGAUCACAAGUGACGCCGCCACAACGUGAUCAUGUGACCACCGGCACCCCAGUGAGCACAAUUGGCGCGACGGUCCAGACGAGAUUGCCGCCGCAACUAUACCAGGAGCAAAAUGGCCGCAUUGGCAUUGGUUUAGGAUGCCCUCCACCAGUGAUGUGACUGCCCACCAUCACCAAAAGUAAAGCACCAAUUGAAGGUAGGAUAAGCUCCUCUUCGGCGUAAUGAUGACACGACACGGUCUAUCACAUACAAGUGUUGUAACAUUUAUUGUGAAGUGAAAAGAAACAAAUCCCCGUCGGUGAGAAUGCAUAGAUGUGGCUUUUAUUCGGGAGAGAGGUGCGCGGGUGUCCGUUCAGGCCUGGUGCUGUGCGAUGAGAUUGCGUAACUGCUUGAUGACGGUGUCGAUGAGCUUCUGUCUGUCGCGUUCCGUCUUUCGGAAUUGUGCGAAGACCACGUUCUUCCUGCUGCUCUCC